GACGAACGCUGGCGGCGUGCUUAACACAUGCAAGUCGAACGGAAAGGCCCUGCUUUUGUGGGGUGCUCGAGUGGCGAACGGGUGAGUAACACGUGAGUAACCUGCCCUUGACUUUGGGAUAACUUCAGGAAACUGGGGCUAAUACCGGAUAGGAGCUCCUGCUGCAUGGGGGGGGUUGGAAAGUUUCGGCGGUUGGGGAUGGACUCGCGGCUUAUCAGCCUGUUGGUGGGGUAGGGGCUUACCAAGGCUUUGACGGGUAGCCGGCCUGAGAGGGUGACCGGCCACAUUGGGCCUGAGAUACGGACCAGACUCCUACGGGAGGCAGAAGUGGGGAAUAUUGCACAAUGGGCGGACGCCUGAUGCGGCAGCGCCGCGUGCGGGAUGACGGCCUUCGGGUUGUAAACCGCUUUCGCCUGUGACGAAGCGUGAGUGACGGUAAUGGGUAAAGAAGCACCGGCUAACUACGUG
rnacentral:rRNA from 1 species